UGAAUAGGAGAUGAAGGGAUUUUUAUUAACUACUGAAGCAACUUACAUGAUCAAGGGUCGAUGAGGUGGAUGACCUCUUCCUCCGAAUCAACAGGCAAUUCUAAAAAUGGUUUAAGACGUUGACCAUUAACUUUAAAAACAUUACCAUUUUUAGGAUCCUGAAUUUCAAUAGCACCGUGAGGAAACACAACUUGAACAAUGUAAGGACCGUCCCAUCUAGAACGCAACUUGCCGGGAAACAAAUGAAGCCUAGAAUUGUAGAGAAGAACUUUUUGGCUAGGGUUUUUUCAUUUUUUAAGAAUUACACUAAAGCCCUCCCCGUACCUAAAUCAUGCAUUGUCCUCAAUGUAUGCAAAAAAGAGAAUUAAAAUGAGUGAGUAAGGAGGAAAAAUACUUCAAUAGGAGAUGAAGGGGAUUUUUAUUAACUACUGAAACAACUUACAUGAUCAAGGGUCGAUGAGGUGGAUGACCUCUUCCUCCGAAUCAACAGGCAAUUCUAAAAAUGGUUUAAGGCGUUGACCAUUAACUUUAAAAACAUUACCAUUUUUAGGAUCCUGAAUUUCAAUAGCACCAUGAGGAAACACAACUUGAACAAUGUAAGGACCGUCCCAUCUAGAACGCAACUUACCGGGAAACAAAUGAAGCCUAGAAUUGUAGAGAAGAACUUUUUGGCCGGGAGAAAAGGAUUUUCUCAAAAUAGUUUUAUCAUGGAAGGCCUUAGUUCUCUCUUUGUAAAUUUUAGCAUUUUCGUAGGCAU
rnacentral:lncRNA from 1 species